rnacentral:rRNA from 1 species
UGAGGAAUAUUGGUCAAUGGGCGAGAGCCUGAACCAGCCAAGUAGCGUGCAGGAAGACGGCCCUAUGGGUUGUAAACUGCUUUUAUAGGGGAAUAAAGUGAGCUACGUGUAGUUUAUUGUAUGUACCCUAUGAAUAAGGACCGGCUAAUUCCGUGCCAGCAGCCGCGGUAAUACGGAAGGUUCGGGCGUUAUCCGGAUUUAUUGGGUUUAAAGGGAGCGUAGGCCGUAGAUUAAGCGUGUUGUGAAAUGUAGAUGCUCAACAUCUGACUUGCAGCGCGAACUGGUUUACUUGAGUGUGCGCAACGUAGGCGGAAUUCGUCGUGUAGCGGUGAAAUGCUUAGAUAUGACGAAGAACUCCGAUUGCGAAGGCAGCUUACGGGAGCACAACUGACGCUGAAGCUCGAAGGUGCGGGUAUCAAACAGGAUUAGAUACCCUGGUAGUCCGCACAGUAAACGCUGGAUGCCCGCUGUUGGUUCAUUAGAGUCAGCGGCCAAGCGAAAGCAUUAAGCAUCCCACCUGGGGAGUACGCCGGCAACGGUG